UACGGAGGGGGUUAGCGUUGUUCGGAAUUACUGGGCGUAAAGCGCACGUAGGCGGAUUGGAAAGUUGGGGGUGGAAAUCCCCAGGGCUCAACCCUGGAACUGCCUCCAAAACUACCCAGUCUGGAGUUCGAGAGAGGUGAGUGGAAUACCGAGUGUAGAGGUGAAAUUCGUAGAUAUUCGGUGGAACACCAGUGGCGAAGGCGGCUAACUGGACUGAUACUGACGCUGAGGUGCGAAAGUGUGGGGAGCAAACAGGAUUAGAUACCCCCGUAGU
rnacentral:rRNA from 1 species